rnacentral:sRNA from 1 species
CAAAAGUCCCUGAACUCUCAAGCGAAUCCGCAAUCAAAUAUUCUGCCCAUGCGGGGAAGGAUGAGAAGCUUCGACUAAGGUUCGACUCGAGCGUCAGCGAGAGAGCGUUGCCGCAGGCAACGACCCGAAGGGCGAAGCGCGCAGCGCUGAGUAAUCCUUCCCCCACCACCA